CAGUCGCCGCGGUAAUACGGAGGGUGCAAGCGUUAAUCGGAAUUACUGGGCGUAAAGCGCACGCAUGCGGUCUGUCAAGUCGGAUGUGAAAUCCCCGGGCUCAACCUGGGAACUGCAUUCGAAACUGGCAGGCUAGAGUCUUGUAGAGGGGGGUAGAAUUCCAGGUGUAGCGGUGAAAUGCGUAGAGAUCUGGAGGAAUACCGGUGGCGAAGGCGGCCCCCUGGACAAAGACUGACGCUCAGGUGCGAAAGCGUGGGGAGCAAACAGGAUUAGAUACCCCUGUAGUCCCUGUCUCUUAUAC
rnacentral:rRNA from 1 species